rnacentral:lncRNA from 1 species
GCUCAAGUCAGAUUAAAAAAAUAACAGGAACAGCAACGAUUUCUCUGACAGGGAUUGAUUGACUUACCUAAUCAUCGGGGCUUUAGUUGCUUAUAUAGAAGACUGUCGAAUAACUGAUCAAAUAGUUGUGAGAUUGUAUGAUCUUGGGAUCGUAGGGCUGUUGAACAUGUCAUUAUAGAUGAGAUAAUUCAACCUUCAAUCACUCCCGCG